GACGAACGCUGGCGGCGUGCCUAAUACAUGCAAGUAGAACGCUGAAGGAGGAGCUUGCUCUUCUGGAUGAGUUGCGAACGGGUGAGUAACGCGUAGGUAACCUGCCUGGUAGCGGGGGAUAACUAUUGGAAACGAUAGCUAAUACCGCAUAAGAGUAGAUGUUGCAUGACAUUUGCUUAAAAGGUGCAAUUGCAUCACUACCAGAUGGACCUGCGUUGUAUUAGCUAGUUGGUGGGGUAACGGCUCACCAAGGCGACGAUACAUAGCCGACCUGAGAGGGUGAUCGGCCACACUGGGAUUGGGACACGGCCCAGACUCCUACGGGAGGCAGCAGUAGGGAAUCUUCGGCAAUGGACGGAAGUCUGACCGAGCAACGCCGCGUGAGUGAAGAAGGUUUUCGGAUCGUAAAGCUCUGUUGUAAGAGAAGAACGAGUGUGAGAGUGGAAAGUUCACACUGUGACGGUAUCUUACCAGAAAGGGACGGCUAACUACGUG
rnacentral:rRNA from 1 species